AGUCGACGAUGAUGCCCAGCUUGCUGGGUGGAUUAGUGGCGAACGGGUGAGUAACACGUGUAGUAACCUGCCCCUGACUCUGGGAUAAGCGUUGGAAACGACGUCUAAUACUGGAUAUGAUCACUGGCCGCAUGGUCUGGUGGUGGAAAGAUUUUUUGGUUGGGGAUGGACUCGCGGCCUAUCAGCUUGUUGGUGAGGUAAUGGCUCACCAAGGCGACGACGGGUAGCCGGCCUGAGAGGGUGACCGGCCACACUGGGACUGAGACACGGCCCAGACUCCUACGGGAGGCAGCAGUGGGGAAUAUUGCACAAUGGGCGAAAGCCUGAUGCAGCAACGCCGCGUGAGGGAUGACGGCCUUCGGGUUGUAAACCUCUUUUAGUAGGGAAGAAGCGAAAGUGACGGUACCUGCAGAAAAAGCACCGGCUAACUACGUGCCAGCAGCCGCGGUAAUACGUAGGGUGCAAGCGUUGUCCGGAAUUAUUGGGCGUAAAGAGCUCGU
rnacentral:rRNA from 1 species